rnacentral:rRNA from 2 species
ACCGGGAUUGCCCUAGUAACGGCGAGUGAAGCGGCAAGAGCUCAAAUUUGAAAGCUGGCCCCCUCGGGGUCCGCAUUGUAAUUUGUAGAGGAUGCUUCGGGAGCGGUCCCCAUCUAAGUGCCCUGGAACGGGCCGUCAUAGAGGGUGAGAAUCCCGUAUGGGAUGGGGUGCCCGCGCCCGUGUGAAGCUCCUUCGACGAGUCGAGUUGUUUGGGAAUGCAGCUCUAAUUGGGUGGUAAAUUUCAUCUAAAGCUAAAUAUUGGCCGGAGACCGAUAGCGCACAAGUAGAGUGAUCGAAAGAUGAAAAGCACUUUGAAAAGAGAGUUAAACAGCACGUGAAAUUGUUGAAAGGGAAGCGCUUGCGAUCAGACUCGCUCGCGGGGUUCAGCCGGCCUUCGGGCCGGUGUACUUCCCCGCGGGCGGGCCAGCGUCGGUUUGGGCGGCCGGUCAAAGGCCCCUGGAAUGUAACGCCUCUCGGGGCGUCUUAUAGCCAGGGGUGCCAUGCGGCCUGCCCGGACCGAGGAACGCGCUUCGGCUCGGACGCUGGCAUAAUGGUCGUAAGCGACCCGUCUUGAAACACGGACCAAGGAGUCUAACAUCUACGCGAGUGUUCGGGUGUCAAACCCGUGCGCGCAGUGAAAGCGAACGGAGGUGGGAACCCCUCGGGGUGCACCAUCGACCGAUCCUGAAGUCUUCGGAUGGAUUUGAGUAAGAGCGUAGCUGUUGGGACCCGAAAGAUGGUGAACUAUGCCUGAAUAGGGCGAAGCCAGAGGAAACUCUGGUGGAGGCUCGCAGCGGUUCUGACGUGCAAAUCGAUCGUCAAAUUUGGGUAUAGGGGCGAAAGACUAAUCGA